rnacentral:tRNA from 1 species
CGGGAUGUAGUAUACCGGUAGUACGCGCGCUUCGGGUGCGUGUAGAGGGAGUUAGAUUCUCCCCAUCCCGACCA